AUCACUUAUAAAAUUACAAUUUGGCACAUCUAAACAAAAUCAACAAUUACCAUCAACUUAGCUAAUGUUAGCUAAUACGUUUUUAUUUACAGAUUAGAAAAAUAAGAGCACAAAUCCCCGGUAGCCUAAUGUUAAUGACUGACGGACAUUUCCGCUACAGCGUCGUCAUUUAUGGUAACGUUAGUAAUUUAACAAGACACCAAAGCAGAUUAAGCUAAAAGGAUCAUUUUAGUUUCUGUAUCACCUUAAAAAUCAGACAAACAUAAACACAAAAACAGACAGUCUUUAGCU